GCUGGACCGGUCCCUUCACAACUCAUCCUUCUAGCCUUCCAGCUCAUUCUUCAGCCCACGUGCUCCAGCCCUGCCAGCUAUGGACCCCAACUGUGACUGCUCAAAUGGUGGCUCUUGCACCUGUGGUGACUCCUGCAAAUGCAAAUCAUGCUCCUGUACCUCUUGUAAGAAAAGCUGCUGCUCCUGCUGCCCAGCAGGAUGUGCCAAGUGUGCCCAGGGCUGUGUCUGCAAAGCCCCCCAGACCGAGAGCUGCAGCUGCUGCCACUGAUGCUCCUGCCUCCCUGUGCCUGUAGAAUAGAGGAAUCUGUAUAUUUUCACGCACCGUGAAUGUUUUUCUACUUUUUCCCUAUGAAAUAUGUAAACGAAAAUAAACUAACAAUGCUUUUCUAUA